AGAGAGAGACAUGCGCGCAUAUCAAUAAGCGGAGGAAAAGAAACUAACAAGGAUUCCCUUAGUAACGGCGAGUGAAGCGGGAAGAGCUCAAAUUUGAAAUCUUCAAGGUUUUACCUUGACGAAUUGUAGUUUAAAGAAGUGUUUUCUGCUGAAGUUUUGGUAAAAGUUCUUUGGAAUAGGACAUCAUAGAGGGUGAGAAUCCCGUAUUUGACCAUUAUUUUCAGCUUUGUGAUACACUUUCAAAGAGUCGGAUUGUUUGGGAAUGCAGUCCAAAAUGGGUGGUAAAUUUCAUCUAAAGCUAAAUAUUGGCGAGAGACCGAUAGCGAACAAGUACCGUGAGGGAAAGAUGAAAAGAACUUUGAAAAGAGAGUUAAACAGUACGUGAAAUUGUCAAAAGGGAAGCGUUUGACACCAGUGUUGUUUUCUCGAAAAUCAAUUAAAAAUGGCUCGAUUUUGUAUUGUUGAGACCUUAAAAGCUCACUGUACAUUUUUCGUGUCUUUUUUAAUGCACUUUUCGUUUAACAAGUCAACAUCAGUUUCCUUUUGUUGUAAAAGGGUCAUUGGAAGGUGGCUUUCUCUUCGGAGAAAGUGUUUAUAGCCUUUGGCCUCUGCAAUCGGAGAGACUGAGGUCUGCAGCGUAGACUCUUCGGGGUUAGAUACAUUUGUGCUAAGUUAUAGCUUUUUAUAGACAACUUGUUGACUAUAAUUAGUCUUGUAGCUUACUCGCUUAUGCUAUUUUACCUACGCUUAGGAUGUUGAGUCGUAGAGCACGCAG
rnacentral:rRNA from 1 species